UCAGGUUCAAGCAAUUCUCGUUCCUCAGCCUCUCAAGUAGCUGGGACUACAGAAAAAUGUCUUGGAGACGUAGGAGAUGAUGAAAUAACAUCUAGGAUUAACAUCCUAGGAGGAGCCUUGGAGAGCUGCGAAUACCCUAAUAAUAAAUUUUUUCGCAGGGCACAUCCUGUGUCUUUA